ACAACAGAAAGAACAAUCAAAUCUCAGUCUGUUAGAUCACUAUGAAUGCAUAAUAACCAGAACACAUCUUUCUCCUCAUCAGCUUUUGCUUUUCCACUGCAGCAAGAAAAAUCUGAGAACUGAAAUGUGAAGAGAGAGACAACAGAUGAAGGAAACCUAAGAGGUAGCAAAAUGCCAAGGGAGUGAUACAAACAACAUCCUUUCAAAAGGGGCACCAACGUCAUCUGCAGGCUGACAGAGGAAUUAAGGAGGAGCAGGGGUGCUCUGCAUACUGGAAGGGAUCCAGCAAAUCAAAGUCUGGAGCAAAGCUCAGACAGAAGAAAAUCCAGGUUGGAGAGCCAGAGGGAGAAACAGAUGACAGCUUGAACAGGUGGCAAAACAAAACAGAGAGACAGACAUGGCUACAAACUCAGGUACUUCAGUCAUGCACUGGUUGCCUGUCUUUCACAUGUGAAAACUGCUAAGCCUCAUGAGUGACAUCUGCAUCUCUGUAAAGGCCUCCAGAGAUGCAGAAUUACAUUGUGCUGCCUGACUCAAAAAGGUUUACAGCAGA